rnacentral:rRNA from 1 species
UACGUAGGGUGCGAGCGUUGUCCGGAUUUAUUGGGCGUAAAGAGCUUGUAGGCGGCUCGUCGCGUCGGGUGUGAAAACUUGCGGCUUAACCGCAAGCCUGCACUCGAUACGGGCGGGCUAGAGUUCGGCAGGGGAGACUGGAAUUCCUGGUGUAGCGGUGGAAUGCGCAGAUAUCAGGAGGAACACCUGUGGCGAAAGCGGCGCACUGGACCACAACUGACGCUGAGGCGCGAAAGCUAGGGGAGCAAACAGG